rnacentral:rRNA from 1 species
GUCAAGAUGAGAAUUCUAAGGUGAGCGAGCGAACUCUCGUUAAGGAACUCGGCAAAAUGACCCCGUAACUUCGGGAGAAGGGGUGCUCUCUGGGGUGUACGCUCCGGAGAGCCGCAGUGAAUAGGCCCAAGCGACUGUUUAUCAAAAACACAGGUCUCUGCUAAACCGUAAGGUGAUGUAUAGGGGCUGACGCCUGCCCGGUGCUGGAAGGUUAAGAGGAGUGGUUAGCUUCUGCGAAGCCACGAAUCGAAGCCCCAGUAAACGGCGGCCGUAACUAUAACGGUCCUAAGGUAGCGAAAUUCCUUGUCGGGUAAGUUCCGACCCGCACGAAAGGCGUAACGAUUUGGGCACUGUCUCAACGAGAGACUCGGUGAAAUCAUAGUACCUGUGAAGAUGCAGGUUACCCGCGACAGGACGGAAAGACCCCGUGGAGCUUUACUGUAGCCUGAUAUUGAAAUUCGGCACAGCUUGUACAGGAUAGGUAGGAGCCUUAGAAACGUGAGCGCUAGCUUACGUGGAGGCGUUGGUGGGAUACUACCCUCGCUGUGUUGGAUUUCUAACCCGCACCACUGAUCGUGGUGGGAGACAGUGUCAGGUGGGCAGUUUGACUGGGGCGGUCGCCUCCCAAAAGGUAACGGAGGCGCUCAAAGGUUCCCUCAGAAUGGUUGGAAAUCAUUCAUAGAGUGUAAAGGUAUAAGGGAGCUUGACUGCGAGACCUACAAGUCGAGCAGGGUCGAAAGACGGACUUAGUGAUCCGGUGGUUCCGCAUGGAAGGGCCAUCGCUCAACGGAUAAAAGCUACCCCGGGGAUAACAGGCUUAUCUCCCCCAAGAGUUCACAUCGACGGGGAGGUUUGGCACCUCGAUGUCGGCUCAUCGCAUCCUGGGGCUGUAGUCGGUCCCAAGGGUUGGGCUGUUCGCCCAUUAAAGCGGUACGCGAGCUGGGUUCAGAACGUCGUGAGACAGUUCGGUCCCUAUCCGUCGUGGGCGUAGGAAAUUUGAGAGGAGCUGUCCUUAGUACGAGAGGACCGGGAUGGACAUACCUCUGGUGUACCAGUUGUCGUGCCAACGGCAUCGCUGGGUGGCUAUGUAUGGACGGGAUAAGUGCUGAAAGCAUCUAAGCAUGAAGCCCCCCUCAAGAUGAGAUUUCCCAACUUCGGUUAUAAGAUCCCUCAAAGAUGAUGAGGUGAAUAGGUUCGAGGUGGAAGCGUGGCGACACGUGGAGCUGACGAAUACUAAUCGAUCGAAGACUUAAUCAA